AAGUCGUAACAAGGUUUCCGUAGGUGAACCUGCGGAAGGAUCAUUAUCGAAAAUAAAGGGUUGUCUGCUGGCCUCUCGGGGCGCGCGCACGCCCAAAUCCACAACACACCUGUGAACCCACCGUAGGCCCUCGGGCUUAUGUAUUAUCAUAUACUCUGAUCAUAGAAUGUAAAUAUUUUGCCUUAAAAACGCAAUGAAAUACAACUUUCAACAACGGAUCUCUUGGCUCUCGCAUCGAUGAAGAACGCAGCGAAAUGCGAUAAGUAAUGUGAAUUGCAGAUUUUCAGUGAAUCAUCGAAUCUUUGAACGCACCUUGCGCUCCUUGGUAUUCCGAGGAGCAUGCCUGUUUGAGUGUCAUUAAAUUCUCAACCCCAGCGGUUCGUUGGGGCUUGGACUUGGAGCGUGCUGGCGAAGGUCGGCUCCUCUUUAAAUGCAUCAGCGGAAAAACGAACUUUUCCCUUCAGCGUGAUAAUCCUGUUGCGCUGUGGUGGGUCAAGGUCCCGCUCACAAUCGUCCUCGGACAAAAGACACAUCUGUUUUGACCUCAGAUCAGGUAGGACUACCCGCUGAACUUAAGCAUAUCAAUAAGCGGAGGAAAAGAAACUAACAAGGAUUCCCCUAGUAACUGCGAGUGAAGCGGGAAAAGCUCAAAUUUAAAAUCUGGCGGUCCUCUGGCCGUCCGAGUUGUAAUCUGGAGAAGCGUUUUCCGCGUCGGACCGUGUACAAGUCUUCUGGAACGGAGCGUCAUAGAGGGUGAGAAUCCCGUCUCUGACACGGACUGCCGAUGCUUCAUGUGAUACGCUCUCGAAGAGUCGAGUUGUUUGGGAAUGCAGCUCAAAAUGGGUGGUAAAUUCCAUCUAAAGCUAAAUAUUGGCGAGAGACCGAUAGCGAACAAGUACCGUGAGGGAAAGAUGAAAAGCACUUUGGAAAGAGAGUUAAACAGUACGUGAAAUUGUUGAAAGGGAAACGUUUGAAGUCAGUCGCGUCGGCCGGGACUCAACCUUGCUAUCUUGCUCGGUGCACUUCUCGGUUGACGGGUCAGCAUCAAUUUUGACCGUCGGAUAAAGGCCAAGGGAACGUGGCAUCCUCCGGGGUGUGUUAUAGCCCUUGGUUCGCAUACGGCGAUUGGGAUUGAGGAACUCAGCACGCCUUCAUUGGUCGGGGCUUAAUCGCUCACGUUAACGUGCUAGGAUGCUGGCAUAAUGGCUUUAAGCGACC
rnacentral:rRNA from 1 species